CUUUAUCCAACAGUUUGCGUGAGGGAUUGAAGCGGCAUCCCCCAACCGAGUUGGGGAAUACAGCGAAAAGCCCGACCCGCC
rnacentral:sRNA from 1 species